AGAGUUUGAUCAUGGCUCAGAACGAACGCUGGCGGCAGGCUUAACACAUGCAAGUCGAACGCGUGUAGCAAUACACGAGUGGCGCACGGGUGAGUAACACGUGGAUAUCUGCCUUUUGGUUCGGAAUAACCCUGGGAAACUAGGGCUAAUACCGAAUGGUUCCUACGGGAUAAAGAUUUAUCGCCAAAAGAUGAGUCCGCGUCCGAUUAGCUAGUUGGUGAGGUAAUGGCUCACCAAGGCGACGAUCGGUAGCUGGUCUGAGAGGACGAUCAGCCACACUGGGACUGAGACACGGCCCAGACUCCUACGGGAGGCAGCAGUGGGGAAUAUUGGACAAUGGGGGCAACCCUGAUCCAGCCAUGCCGCGUGAGUGAUGAAGGCCUUCGGGUUGUAAAGCUCUUUUGGCGGGGACGAUGAUGACGGUACCCGCAGAAUAAGCCCCGGCUAACUUCGUGCCAGCAGCCGCGGUA
rnacentral:rRNA from 1 species